rfam:Felis catus isolate Cinnamon breed Abyssinian chromosome B3, whole genome shotgun sequence.
GCCUGGCUGGCUCAGUCAGUUGAGCAAGUGACUUUUGCUCUUGGGGUCGUGAGUUCAAGCCCCACGUUGGGUG